ensembl:snRNA U2 U2 spliceosomal RNA
AUCGCUUCCCGGCCUUUUGGCUAAGAUCAAGUGUAGUAUCUGUUCUUAUCAGUUUAAAAAUGUAUCGCUUCCCGGCCUUUUGGCUAAGAUCAAGUGUAGUAUCUGUUCUUAUCAGUUUAAAAAUGUAUCGCUU